rnacentral:lncRNA from 1 species
CAAAUCAGCCGCAGCAGUCCAUGGGCUGCUCGUAAUUUCACCAGAGACGCGCCAAAACCGAUCAAAACCGUCCCAAACAUCGAAAAACAAAAGUGGGUUUGUCUUUGGGAUUUCGGGAAUCGAGUUCGAGGUCUAUUCGUGGUUCAUGGGUUCACGAGGCUCCCAUCGUGGUUGAAAUCGGUUCAAGUUGAUUGAAUAAAAGUAACAUUGAGGUUCGACGUUGAGGUUCCGUUGGACGCGGUUCUAUUCAGAAAGAUCAGUUAAUCAAUAAGGCAUUGAGGUCCAUUUCUCAUCUCAUUCUCUAUU